UACGAAGGGGGCUAGCGUUGUUCGGAAUUACUGGGCGUAAAGGGCGCGUAGGCGGCUUCGAUAGUCGGGUGUGAAAUGCCUGGGCUCAACCCAGGAACUGCACUCGAAACUCCGAGGCUAGAGUGUGGGAGAGGAUAGUGGAAUUCCCAGUGUAGAGGUGAAAUUCGUAGAUAUUGGGAAGAACACCGGUGGCGAAGGCGGCUAUCUGGACCACAACUGACGCUGAGGCGCGAAAGCUAGGGGAGCGAACAGG
rnacentral:rRNA from 1 species